UACAUGGGGUGCAAACGUUGCUCGGAAUUAUUGGGCGUAAAGCGCACGUAGGCGGUUCGUUAAGUCGGAUGUGAAAGCCCUCGGCUCAACUGAGGAAGUGCACCCGAAACUGGCGAGCUUGAGUACGAAAGAGGAUCGCGGAAUUCCCGGUGUAGAGGUGAAAAUUCGUAGAUAGUCGGGAGGAACACCGGGUGGCGAAGGCGGCGAUCUGGGUCGAUACUGACGCUGAGGUGCGAAAGCGUGGG
rnacentral:rRNA from 1 species